rnacentral:lncRNA from 1 species
AACCAAUCUAGAUUCAUACAAUUUUUGUAAUCACAGAAUUCUUCUAUCGAAACACAAACAACUCCCAAUAAACAACAAUCAUAAUCUUCCAUCCAUAAUCAAUCUUCCAAUAACUUCUCAUAUAAUUCAAUCACACAAUACUCCAAUUACAUAAUCAAUAAUUCAUAAAUCAAUCUUUAAUUUAUUCCACAGAUUCACCUCUUAGUAUUCAAAAACUAUCCAUUACUCUUCAACAACAAAGAAA